UUUUAUCCUCCGGGCUGCUUCUGCUGCAGCUGAAGGCACACUGCUCCCUGAGUGCUCAUGGGUUUCUACCUUGGGGCCAGCUGGCUGCACUGGAGUGGGACUGGGAGGGGUUGGAGGGCCCAAGAUGGGACAGGUGCUAACUGAGGGCACCUCUACCCAUCUGGCUUUCAUUUUCCAAUCUGGCACCUUGUCCAGGCGGGCCUCCCGUUUCUGGCUCCGGGCUGAGCUUCCUGGAGAAGAGGAAGAGGGAGCCCACAGCUGUGGGAGGGGCUGCUACUGCUGCUGCCGCCGCCGCUGCCGCCGCCGCCGCCGCCAUUGGACAAACCUCACCAGUACCUGCACAGGAGAAACACCACGGAUCACAGCGCGAUCUGAAUGGGUGCGUGCUGGUAAAGCCCAGCCCGUGUAUUCCACCUGCCCCAGGAGCUGGAGACAAGACCUUGUGGCUGCGCAGCGGAAACCUUGCCUUGUGACCCCUGGAACUCGCUUUCUUGACUACUCCUUCCCCAGAGCAGCCAAGUUCCACUCCUGCUUUCCCCACACAUGACCAGGAGGUUCAACCUCUCUGGCAGAUCAUCUCUUC
rnacentral:antisense_RNA from 1 species